AAGUUUCCAGUACUUCAGGUGACCAACCUGGGAAAAGUGUACCAGUCCAAAAGGCACCAACACCUUCUGAAAGCUCCAAUCACACCACCCCUCCUGCCACUGCAUAUGUCCCGAACUGGGACUCCUGCCACGAUUCUGACAAAAGCACAGAGACAAAAAUCAGCAUCCACAGGGUCACUUGGAAGUUGAGAAUUCUUUGAGAAUUGAGGAUUCCUUCCCAUUGAAGCCUAGACAUAUCGCCCCCAUCUGCCUUUGCCCUUUUUGUCCACAAACAAAUUAUUUUUUGAUCAAUUUGGGAUGGUGAGAACAAUUUUUAUUCUCUUUAACCCAAAAUAAUGUUUACCCCCUUUUCCAAUCAGGCAGUGGAAUAGGUGAACUGCCACAAGUGACCUCGACCACCAGUUCAAAAUAUUCUGAAGAUCAAGGACAAGCAGAGGUUGCCCAUUCUAUGGACUCGAAUCAAGAAAUGAAUUGGCAGAAAAUGGAGGGCAGCAUGAAUUUCCUUGCACAAUAUGACGACCGUCUUGCUGAUAAUCUUGAGAGCGUAGAACAAAAGACGACUGUCAAGAAAUUCAGCGUAAUCAAAUAAUUGAGAGUUUGAAUAACAUACAUGGCACUCUAAAUCAGAUGAAUAACUGGCUGACACAGUCCACAUCUACCUCUAUUUCAAUGGCAACGAGUCUUGUGGUAAUAACAGAUGAAUUAAGAAGAUCCCAUGUGUCUCUCAGUGACUUCCAAAGUCCAUUCAUGUCAAACUCGCUUCAGGAGAUGUAUAGUCGCCGGCCCACUCCUUCAUCUGCUGGAGUGUCACAAAUGGACCCAGAGCAGACUGUGUCCUCUUUACUAACAAGAUUAAUGGAAGAGCCCACUGGUUACGCCCCUACUGAAGGUAAAUUAUUUGUAGAGUUUUUUUGGUUUGUUUGUGGGAAAAACUACUUGAAAAGGUUCAUGCACCAAUUUUUUUAUUAAUUAUCAGAAAAGGCAUUCAAGUCGGAUUUAUGGUCUUACCUUGAUGAAUCCUUUUCUUGUAGUCUGAUAGGGGGCACAAGAGAUGCUUAUACACUGGGUAUUGGUGGUAUUGGUGUGAGCAGACACUAAAGAGUUAAACUAAUGUUCUCAGCAUGCCUCAGUCCCCCUUCCCCUAUACCCUGCCCCUCUGGGCCUGACCUGCCAGUUAUGUUAGCCAGUCCAAAGCAGGAGUGAGGGAAUAGGAAGGAAGACCCACACACAGACAGGACCACUCUUACUGUAAAUAAAUGCCACAUAUUCACUGGAAUAGGGACCAGAUCCUGUAAGUCAGGUGCAUCAGGGAGGGCAUCCUGGGCCCCCUAUUGCACUACAAGAAAAGGAGUUAUCAAGGUAAGACUAUAAAUCCAACUUUAUUGUGCAUCCACGAGGGGGCACAGGAGAUAUGCUGGGAUGUCCUGUAGCAGUUCCCUUAUGGGCAGGGACGCUCCUGGACUACACUAAGGACAUUACACCUAAAUGUUGCAUCUGCUGAUGCAAAAGAAUCAAAGGCAUAGAACUUAAUAAAGGUUUAAGCAGAAUACCAUGUAGCCGCCCUGCACAGUUGUUCUGCAGAGGCUCCACGGCUAGCUGCCCAAGAAGUUCCCACCGAAUGGGUGCAUUGAGCUGUGGCCCCUGAAGGGACAGGGAUUUUCGCCUCCAAAUAAGCGUGAUAAAUAGUUGACCUAAGCUAUCUUGCCAAGGUCUGUUUUGAAGCCGGGAACCCCUGUUUGCAAGAAUAAUAGAGAACAAAUAAGGAGUCCGACUUACGAACCUUAGUUCUCUCCACAUAAAGCCAAAUAGCUCGGACAACAUCCAGAGUUGCCUCUUCCAUGGAUCCCUCCAAAAAUGCAGGGACCACUAUCUCCUGGUUACAUGAAACCCAGACACCAUCUUUGGUAGGUAGGCCAGACGUGUGCGAAGCACUGUCCUGUCUGAGUGGAAGACUAAAAAGGGUGAACGCCAUGAUAAAGCACUAAUAUCUGACACCCUUCUAGUCGAUGAGAUGGCCAACAGAAGAAAUGUCUUCCACGUGACCCAAUGUAUCUCAAUCUCAUCUAAUGGCUCAAACGGAGGAGACUGAAGAGCCAUAAGUACUAGAGCAAGAUCCUAAAGGGCUACUAGAGGCAAAAAUAGAGGCUGAAUGCAUGCAUGUACAUUUUUUCUUUUUUGAACUCGCAGCUCGAAUCAAGUCACAGAGCUUUGAACAUAGGGCUCUAGUCUAAAGUGCACCAAACAGUACAAACAAUAGAUCUAUAUUUUUUUUUGUAUUUUUCUGAUUUUGAACUUGCUCUCAAACUGCGUGGAUCCCAGGGCUUAUAGAUGCAUGUGAACAAAGCACACUAUGGUAAAGUGUGCCAAACAGUACUAUUUACAGCAAAGUAUAGUGCACCAUACAGCAGCAUGUGUUAGUGUGAAAUGGUGCCAAGUCCCAUCCCUGGAGCUUUAUAUAGAAUCCAAGUCCCACGAGAAUCCAGUGCCCGGAGGAUGAUGUUCGACAUCAACAUGGAAUCCAAGUCUAGAGGGAACACCGUGACUAGGGUGGCCUUGGAUUCCCGAUAUUCGCUAAUCUGUGCAGAUGCCACAAAGGUAUGCAAGAGGGUAGACACACCAGGGGGGUUAAAACAAAAGAUUGAGGAUCUAGGUAGACUAGAGGAAUGGUCAAGAGUGUGGCAAUUACAGUUAAAUGCCAAAAAAUGCUAAAUCAUGCACUUGGGUCUCAAAAAUCCAAAGGCUAAAUAUAGUAUUAAUGGCACUAUACUGGAAACUGCUGAAGAGGAAAGGGAUCUAGGAAUCACUAUUUCAGGUGACUUAAAGGCAGGUAAGCAAUGUAACAAAGCAAUGAGGAAGGCUAGUCAGAUGCUUGGCUGCAUUGGGAGAGGAAUCAGCAGCAGAAAGAAAGAAGUAAUAAUGCCACUGUAUAGGUCAUUGGUACGGCCACAUCUAGAAUACUGUGUUCAAUUCUGGAGGCCAUAUCUUCAAAAGGAUAUUAAUACAUUAGAGACUGUACAAAGAAGGGCAACUAAAAUGGUGCAUGGCCUACAUCACAAAACAUAAACAGAAAGGCUAAAAAAAAUCUCAAUAUGUAUAGUUUGGAGCAGAGAAGGGAAAGGGGGGACAUGAUAGAAACUUUAAAAUAUAUCAAGGGUUUUAAAGUCCAGGAGGGAAAAAUUCUCCAAAUGAAGAGAAGGAUUAGGAGACGAGGACAUGCACUGAGACUGGAGGGGGAGGUUCAGGGGAAAUUGGAGGAAAAAUUACUUCACAGAAAGGGUAGUGGACAAGUGGAAUAGCCUCCCAUCAGAGGUGGUAGAGGCUAAGACAGUAGAGCAAUUUAAACAUGCAUGGGUUAGACAUAAGGAUAUCCUAACAAAGACAUAAGGAUCAAUUAAGG